UUACCCUUUCUUCCGGUGGAGUCGCACCGCGGGUCCCGUGUGCGGUUCUGGGCCCUCAGUUCAGAAGGACCUUGAGGGGCUGGGGUGGGUCCAGAGAAGGGCAGUGAGGCUGGUGAGGGGUCUGGAGCACAGGCCCUGUGAGGAGCAGCUGGGGAGUCUAGGCUGCAGAAAAGGAGGCUCAGGGAUGACUUUGGCACUCUGCACAGCUCCUGACAGAAAGCUGUAGCCAGGUGGGAAUUGGCCUCCCCUUCCUGGGAACUCAGACUCUUAAACUGUGCUGUGCUGGACAUCAGGAAGAAUUUCUUCAUGGCGGGGGUGAUCAGACCUUGGAACAGGCUGCUCGGGGAGAUGUGGGGUCACUGUCCCUGGGGGUGUCUGGGGAAAGGCUGGCUGUGGUGCUUGGUGCCAUGGUCUGGCUGACAUCCAGGAGUUUGGUCAUAGGUUGGAUUUGACGACCUCAGGUCUUUUACAACCUAAUUGCUUCAGUUUAAGGUGGGUGGGGGCAGUGGUAUCAAAGUGCCCUGUUUGUCUGUGGGCUGUUUAUUCCAGUGGAGCAGAAGAGCUCUGCUCCUAGCAGGCUCUGGGCUGUGCUGUUGGGCCUGGAGAAAGCUGAGGGGCUGGAAGGGUUGGACUCGCAGCAUCUCCUGAGCAUGUCUGUGGUGAGCUUAGUGGCAAGGAUUGCCCUCAUCCCAGGGUGCAGAGCCCUGUGGCUGAUGCUCUGGAGGAAGGGUACUACUUCAUUAUUUCCUUCCUUGCCCUCAGAAGGUUCAACAUGUGGAACUGGCCUCAGGGGACCUGGGGUGGGGGCAUCACUGCCCCCAUCACUGCAAAGGAAUGUGUGCAUGGAGAGGGUUGCUGACAAAUGGCCUCUGCUGUGUCUCAGGGCUCCCCUGUGAACAGGCACAGCAGCCUUCAGCUGGCACUUGGGGAUGGCCUGUUUAACCUGGGCACUGUGAGAGAAACUGGUGCUGUGCUGCUUCUGAUGCAUGAUCUGCAGUGUUUCUCCCUCAUUUGACAACAUUUCCAUUGCCAGAUCUUUUUAUGGACUGCUCUGGUGCCUGUAGAGGAAAGAUGCUGCUUAGCUCCUCUCAGUAAGGAGCUCCCUGGGACUGGCUUGUUCUGUAAAGCACUGCAAGGAAGGUGACUUUUUCUUACCAAGCAGACGUUUGAUUCAAUGUGGUAAAUGGUUUUUACAGCUUGGUGCCAGGUCGUGAUGGAUGGCUGACAGUGUGCACAGUCAGAGGCCCAUGAUGGUUUAUUCUGUGGCUGACCAGUACACCUCCACCUCUGAUGCUGAGACAGAAGCUCAUUUGCCUGAAGUCCAUAGGGACGUUACCUGUGAUUUGGACACUGGGUUGGUGGGGCUUGAACCAGAAAUCAGUUAUUUCUGGGCCAGAGGCUCUUUUCAUAAUUGUUUUUUAUUACUGUUUGAUAGAGAUCCUUGUGGCCUACCGGUUAUUUUUCAUGAUCCAUUGGGAAAUUUCGCUUUGUUUACAAAACAUUGUCAGGUGUUUUGGUCACAGUGUGUGUGCUUCCUUUUCCUAGCAGUAGCUCCUUGCCCAAGGGAGAGCACUCAUUGAAUUUGGAUGGGUCUGUGCCCCAGGUCCUGCUCUCUCAGUCAGAAGCCAAGGACCAGCGGGUACCCCCCAGUGUGGAACUGAGUGGGAAGGACAGACAGACCUGCCAGUGACCUACAGGAGCCUGUGGUCUUGCCUGAGCAGGAUACUGCCUGUGCUCUGCUGCCUUCCUGCUGUCUCCUGCUGCAUCCUGGAGAAGCCCAAGCACAGAAGGAGCCCAGCAGGACACCUGGCAUGUGUUGACACAGCUGGAAGUCCUGCCCUGCUGCUGUGUGAGGUUCCCCCUGACCAGCUGCAACAGGGCAGGGUGAGAGCUGAAGUUUUAAUAGUGCUGGUUGUGUUUGGCUGGGGAGUCCUGUACCACCGGGAAGCUGCUCUGGAGACUUCCCCUGCCUGCAUUCAAAAAAUGGGAGAAAAUGCAUAAUAUCCUCGGUUAUUCGACUCCCCUGCUCCAAGGGACACUUGGACAGACUUUUAGGCCGCUUUUAUUACUUUCUGACAGAGGAGGGAGCUGUCAGCUCAGCAUUGAGCUUUUCAGCAGGCAGAGGUGCCCACCUGGAGCUGGCUGAGCUGUCUGGGCAGCCCACUGAAGGGACGUGUUCAGCUUGAGGUGCAGGAGAUGGAGCUGAUUUGGAAGUGCUUAAAUCUUCUGCUUUAAGUGCAUGUGUGGAGUGUUUGUGUCCCCUGUACAAUGAAAACCAGUCAUGAGCCUGCAGGGACAGUGGGAGCAGUGGCCUGAGAAGCUGUUUGGAGGUGGAACAUUUGGCAGUGAGACCUUGCAGUUUUUGUUGCUGUAGCAGUGUCCCCUUCCGUUGUACCAAGAGUCCCUGGAAACCUGGACAGCACCUUCCUGUCCAGAGCCAGAGCACCCUCCUCUGUGCCACAGCAAUGCAAGCAGCCCUUUCAUCUGGGAGACCUGCCAGGCAGCAGAAACAGGCAAGGAAACAGCUACAUUAAACUGGCCUGAGGUUGACUCAAGCCAACGUGGACUGGUCUGAAAGUGGAAAAACAACCUGAUUCUAUCUCCUCUUUCUCCUGCUACAACCCAUCAGCAGCCUUCCUGCCUCAGCCAGUGGCAGUGUUGUGAGGUAUGACUUAAUUACAGCCCUGGAAUAAAAAGAAUUUCUUCAUUAGAUGUUGCUUUACAACUGCAUCAGUCAUCUUGUGUCCAGCUGCUGGUGGCAGAGCUCCAAGUGGGCUGGAUGGGGCUGGUUUGGCAGGUAUGUGGAAUGGUGGUGGCUGGAGCAUGAGCUAGGCAGAGCAGGGUUAAGUCAGAAGCUCCAGUGACGUUGCUGAAUUCAGUUUGCCACAAAGAUAUUUUUCUCCUUCAUGCUGGAGCUCUCUUUCUGCAGUCUUUCUGCCUUCAGAAACGUGGCUCAGCCCCAGUUUCUGCGAGUCACACACGUUCAUUCACUGGCUGUUGGAAAAAGGGGAGUGAGAAAAUGUGGUGUCUGUGUUACAUGUUUGGGGACUGGUUUCCACUGUGCCUGUCCUGUGGCAGCAGUUAGGUGACAAAGAUUGAAAGCAUGUCUUCCCACCCAGGGUAUUGUCCUUUAUUUCUCAAGCCACAGAGAUAAUCCCUGUCAGAUGACUCCAUUUUAAAUUGCAGUGAGACCCUGAACUGAUGAUUUAGGAGCACACAGUCUCUUUGUUGUGGUUCUGGGUUUGGUGUGUUGCUUUGUGCCCAAGAAAGAUGGAUUGUUACUCAGCCAAGGCUAAAUGUGGAGGUAAUACCAAACGCUGUAGGAAAUGGAAUCUCUUCCCAGCCCCAGUGAGUCCUCCAAUCCCAAAUUCUUCUUUCCCCCAGGAACUGGUGCUAGAAGCCAGCAGCCUUUCCUCUGCCCCAGUUAAUGUACCAGCACCAGCUUAGUCUUAAUGUUCUGAUCUGGUCUGGAUUAAUGGCAAACCUUGGGUGUUGUGUACAGCAGGGACUGACUCACAUCAGCUCACUUGAUCACUUAUUCCAGGAAAAAUAACACUCAAGUUUGCCAGAGAACUGUCCCUGACACACUGAAAUAUUUGUGAGUUCAAAGCUUUUGCAACUCAGAAUGACAAUUUCUGGACAUUUUCCUCUAAAAUCGUUCAUACUGAAAUGUGAGGAUUGUACAAAGAGUCUUGACAGACUCUUCAGUUUGAGAAGAGUUUAAAAUUGAUCACUUGAACCAAUAGGAGCCUUUGUUCUAGGUAAUAGAACCUAGACUCAGCUCAGACUAAUGUAGAGUUGCACAAAAACCUCCCAAGGAAAAACCAACCUAUAAACUUGGGAUUUAAUCUCAAAUCUUGGGAUUUAAUUUCAAUUUCAUGGAGAGUUUUUUAAGCAGUAUUUUAGCCUCAGUAACCCAGAAAAGGGCUGUAUCUAUCUGGAAAAUAUUGCUUUUCUCAGUGACAGACUUGAUGUGCUCCUUUCAUGUUGGCUAUAUAUAUAUAUUUUUUUUUUUUUAAUUAUUUUUUUUUUUUUGGGCAAGAGGAAAAAGUUAUAGGAGCAAACACUGCACAGACCUAAAACUUCCCCUCUUGUAUGAAAGGAGCAGAGGUUUCAUAAUUAAAUGGAAAAAAAGACUUGCGUUUGGGCUUCUGAGUUUUGGCAGAAGCUCCUGUGGGAUCUGACUGGCCCUCCCCAGCCUCUGCACAGUUGCAUUUCUUUACAAAAAUAGGACCUUUGCUGGUACUGGAGUAAUCAGAGGAGAAUGUAGGGGAAAUGCACUGGGAAAGGAGGAGCAAACUGGGUGUGACAUGUGGUAGAUGGCUCUGAGUUAACUGCUGAGAGCAGUACCUCCUUUUAAUUUACUUAGUGAGGCCAUAUCCCAAGGCUGGGGACCCUCCUGCUCUUUCAAAGUGGUUCUGUAAGGGUUGCUCAGGUGUGGCUUGCUGAUCCUUGACUGGUAGCAGGACCAGAACCACCUCAUAAACUUCUAAAAUCUCGGGAAAUAUAUUUACCUGCAAAAACAACAACAACAACAAAAAAAUAUCGACACAUGCAAAGUUGAGCCUAUGGCUGUGACACUUGGGGGAUAGAAAGGAGGUCACAUUGAGGUGGAAUAAUGUCAGAAAUCCUCUGUGUUCACUAGCUUUUAUUAUGAAUGGUGUGUCCACUACCACGUGAGGUAGUAGGAAAAGAAAGGGAAAUAUGAAAGCAUAAAUAAUCAGGGUUUCUGAAAGUCCUUUUGGAAGCCUUCUCCCUCCUCAGAUUUACAGCAGCUCUCCACAGAUGUUCUGUAGUUGGAGGAGUCUCAGAAGUAUUUUUGCAAGACAGUUUAUUUUUGCCAGAAAGGAGAUGAAAAUCUUAUACCAAAAAUGUCUUUUGACUUCAUUAAAUUUGGAGCUGUUGUUGCAAUGUAGUUCUUUAGAGAGCUGCCAGAGAGGUUUUUAAAAGUGCUAUUUAUACAUGUGCAUUAAAAACAGGAGUACAACAUGGCUAUAAGAAAUUAAUUUUCUGGUUUUGAAGCUAGCAAUUAAGGUUGGAACAAAUGUUCCUGCUUGUUGUUCCUUCUGCAGUCACUCUUGUAAAACUAAAGGAGAACCAUUGACAUGAAAGCUCUGUUGGUGCCACUACCACUGAGCUGCUUUGCUUUGUGAAGUGCCAGACUGGUUACAAUCACAUUGUGUAAGGCUCUUAAAAUCCUGCUGAGAUCCCUGAAUCCUGUUAGGGGAUCCCUCAUUAAAAAUUCUGGAAGACAGUCUAAAUUGUCACUUGCUGUAGAGAAUGAGCUUGUUGACAAGUCCACAUUAAACCCAGCACUUUUUGUGAGCACACUUUGCAAACCCAGAGAGACCAAGCGUGGUGUGUUCCUGAUUCCCUUCUUGGUUCUGUCUGUGUGGAAAAUGGAAAAACACUCUGAGGAAACUAUCUCAUGUUUUCAGCAAGAAAAAACACCCUAAAUUUAAUCUACAUGUCAUGUACAAGAGAGGAGGCUAUGAAAAAGGAGGAAGGAAGGGCCUGGUUGGCCUGGUUUGUUAUUUGUUAAUGUGUAUUCUUUGGUAGCUCAAAGCCAAUGGAAGAUAAUCCUCAGGGUAAAGAAGGAAGUACACACUUGUUGCUAAGGCAAUGCAAGUUGAAGGCCUGCCACAGGAGGAGAAACAAGAGAAUAUUUCAAUGCAAAUGUCCCUAUAAAAUACAUUUUUCACCAGGAAAAGGUGUGGAUAGCCCCACAUAGUGCUUUGUGUGUGUGUGACACACUGCAGUAGGAGGUAGCAAUAUUCCCAGCAUGGGCAAAGGGAGGUGCUGACCUCUGGAUCAAACACAGGUGUCGUGAGGAGCAUUGCCACCAAUGUAGGAACAGAUCCUCCCGAGCACUGGCCCCUGCCUGGCACCUCGGGAGGAAUUUGGCCAGACCUGUUUGGUCGUGAGUCAAAGUUGCGCAUCCAAGUUCCAAGUGACUGGAGCUAUAAACAGCUUAAAAUGAUUUUCAGGGGAGUUCAAAGAUGAAUAAUGCAUCUCUUCAGGCUUGUAAGUGAUCUUUUAUUCACAAAAAGUCAAAGCAAUGUACAAAGGUAGUUGCUGGCCUUGGGGACAGGAGUCUGAAUGACUCCUUGUCAUUCACAGUAGCUACCAGAGGUGAUGUGACAUCUGAAAGGAAGAGAUGAAAGCUCCAUUGCAAUUUGUUAAAUAAAAACCACCUCAGUAUUUUGCUAAAUAGAUGAUAAUCAGAAUGCCAAUCUGCUGUUUAGGGUUUUGUUAGCAAAAAGAGGAGCUCAUAGGCUACAACCUACAGAUGUUUUUCUUCCAUAACUGUAUGGAAGUUUACUUGUAGUAUCCAUGGAAAUUCCCCAUGACAGAAUUACUUGUCCUGCCACUCUGUGUCAUGGCAUUACUGAGUGUUUUGCCUGUCACUGCCAUCCAUUCUGUUUGGUUUGGUGGCUAGUUUUGUUUUAGCCACUGGAUCCUACAACACCCAGGUUUGUGUGGAUUGUGUGGUUCAGGACUGGGAUCUGAACACAAGGUGAGAAUCUAAACUUGACCCUUCUGGUUUCCAAAGGCAGGAGGUAGGAGAGGUUAUGUGUCUGUCUGAAAAGUUCCUUCAUAACUUAAAAACUGCAUUUAAUUAUGGGACUAUUUUUGCUGAUAGAUCCUGGGGAGGGAGAAAUAGUUUGCUGUUUUGCAUUUGUGACCUAAAUAGACAGUUAGCCAUAAGAAUAAUUUGCAUAUUUCUUAACACUUUUAAGUUUGUCUGAAAAUAUGUGUGUGCCUUUUCUUACUCUGUAACACUGAAAUUUUUAUUCCUGUCAUGAGAAAGAAACAUUGCUGUCCUGCAAUGGGAGAUGAAUGUAAAUCUGAGGGCAAGCCAAUGCACCAACAGUAAAUCCUUCAGUGCAUCUCCCCUUUUGUCUUAGGAGAGGCACCAGAAGGUCAGGGGCUGAAGUGCUGCUGAGCUUUUCACGCUGUUUGCCUUUAUGGGAUGCCAGUUGCAUGUGAGCCCUUCCUGGUCUCACCUCGAAGUUUUCCCACCAACAGCAGCUGCAUUUCCACAAAUGAAUGAUCUUUUAGAAAAUGUAUUGAUCAUACAAGAAGCUCCACACUGGCAAAUAUUAAAAGUUUGUGUGUCAGUACUGGGUGCUUAGAAGUGGAACCCGUUAUGCAGAGGGGUAAACCUGUGCUCUCUUGUGCAGCCUUUGCGAAUGAUUCCCAGGCAGCUUCCUGCUCCCAGCACCACUAACCCUGUGUUUAGGGAGGCCAGUGGCCAAAACCUUACUGACUUAAGUGAGCCACGCCCUGGGCCAGGCAGCACUCAAACAGCCCUUUGUGCCUUCCCUCUGCCCACACAGCCCAGUCCUGCCCUCUGCCACCACAGUCCCUGCCCUCUGCAGUGUCUUUCCUCUGAAGAGGACCUACCAGGUGAGCAUUUCCACGUGCCUGUGCUGCCUUCCUUCCAGUUUUUUCCACAACUGAUGGUCUCCUUCGGUUGCAAGGAACCAAGUGCCAGCCUUGGUUCAUCAACAGUAAUGCAGAGUUGCUGUUAUGGGCCUCCAGGAAGGACUUGGGAGUGGCGCCCAUCUGUGUCUGUGCUGAUGGAAAUUCCUCAGGGCUGUGUGAUCUGUUCUGGUCUCUUGCCUGCCCCUCUAGGGAGGGUAUUUCCAUGCAGAGUUAGUCAGAGCCGUUUGUGUUUUGCCAUGUUCCCAAGGUGAUCAGUAUCCUUAUCACAUCUAUUUGCUUACUGUGCACCUGAAGUGACCUUUGCAAACUCAGCUCACCUUGUCCAGCAGGUGAAGGCAACUGAGAGAGGAAGGACAAGGAAGUAUCUUGUCCUGGAGCAGAGGAGGGAGGGUCCAGCAGAUGGGAGCAGAAAGCCAAGGACUGGGCCAAGGCUGAGCUGAAUAUCCCAGCAUGGGUACCCUGCUGAGACAAUGUGGACUCUUGCAGGAGUGAGAUGAGGUCACUGCCCUACUGAGCAUCAUUUCUGCCUGCUGAUGCUGGGAUGAAGCUGGAGUCCCUCCACAGAGAGGCUGCAGAUGUAGGAGUGUUGGCUGGAGGUUGAGAGGUGGGCAGCUCACCCACAUCUGCUUCUGCUCACAGCCCACCUCCACUUCUGACUGCCACUUAGCAUUCAAAUGGGAAUGGGCUGAUCUGCAUCCCCUGUUAGUGAUGUUAGGGCUCAAACAAAUCUGCUGAGACCAAGUGCCUGCCAUACCCUGGCACACAGGGCCCUGCUGGAGAGCACAUUUUACCUUCCUCACCUCCCCAGCUCACUGGUUCAGAGUGAAGGCAUGAAGCUGUCAAAUGAGACCCAAAUUUUAGUGUUUGCU